GGUUGUUUCUCCCUCGGCCAUGAAAGAACAAGAUGAUGAUCUCUCUGUUCUCCAAAGACAGGUUCCAGCUGGGUUGACUUGUUGACUUGGUUUCUCGCUCUUGGUUAAUUAUGAACAAUGUUAAUAGGAUAUAACGUUGCUCGUUUUGUAUCAACGUCCAAAUUUUCCUCCGUUCAUACUGGAUAGAGGUUGACAUGAGGAACAACAGGCGGGCCUUUGGGUUGACUUGUUGACUCUUUGCAGUCACGGUGUUAUUUCUGGUUAAGGAAAGAAACUAAACUGGAACUAUGUCCCGACUUAAAAAAUGGUUUCCCCAAAAACACCAACAUAUCUUAUAAGCCCAGCCCAAACUUUAAAAAGGUAAAAGCAAACCCUAAGUCCCAUAUCUUCUCCCUCUUGGCUAUAUGCGGCAUCAGCUACUUCUCUCUAUUGGCUUCGUACUCUCCUCUUAUCCUGGGUUGGACGGCAGCAACAUCUUCUUCUCUUUGGCAGUAGCUUCACCUCUCCUCUUGUCCACAACAAGCUAUCUUUUAUUAUGUCGGACCACAAUCGGAACCCCAAGAGAGCAAAGAAUUUGUUGUCUUUUUAUAAGAAAAAGAAUGAUGGGUCAUCAUCCAGUAAAAUUCCUUCUGGCACUUCUUUAUCUACUCCAAUUAGUGAUGAGCAAAAUCUUCAUGACUCUCCCAUUGUCGAGCCUCAAGUUGAAAGAGUUGAAUCUCAAAAAUUUGACGAUGAUCAAGAUUUUAAUAUCAAUUAUCUUGAACGUGAUUCAGGAUUACGUCGUCUAAUAUGCAAAUAUCCGGUCAAUGAACAAGAUAAUGUGCAAAAAGCAUAUAUUCUUUUAGGACCAUGUCAACCCGAGUUAGAAGAUUAUCCAAGCCACUUAGAAGGGCAGAACUUUCAUCGAUUUAAUAAAAAGUGGUUCGGCCAAUUCA